AUGGUGUCUUAUCCACUGUCCUGGACUUUGGAGCACCUAGUGCCCCCUCACAGAAGUGUAACCGAGGGCCGGGCGGCACCGGAUAUCGUGCACCAGGUUCGCGUGGACGCUGGGGGGUCCUUCCUGUCCUGUGAGCUGCGGCCCCGCGCACUGCGCAAGCGGGAUGUAUCUGUGCGCCGAGACGCGCCCGCCUUCUACCCGCUGCAAUACCGCAGGCGCGAGCUGCGCUUCAACCUGACCGCCAAUCAGCACCUGCUGGCGCCCGGCUUUGUGAGCGAGAUGCCGCGGCGCGGCGCCCUGGGUCGCGCGCACAUCCGGGCCCACACCCCCGCCUGCCACCUGCUUGGCGAGGUGCAGGACUCCGAGCUCGAGGGUGGCCUGGCGGCCAUCAGCGCCUGCGACGGCCUGAAAGGUGUGUUCCUGCUCUCCAACAAGGACUACUUCAUUCAGCCCCUGGACGGUGCCCCAGCCUGGCCCAGCCAUGCCCAGCCCCAUGUGGUGUACAAGCAUCCGGCCCCGGAGAGGCUGGCACAGCGGGGUGAUUCCAGUGCUCCAAGUACCUGUGGGGUGCAAGCCUAUGGCACCUGGCUCUGCCAGCCAUUCUCCCUCCAGUGUCCAGACCAGGUGGCUGGCCUGUUUCACGACCCCAGCAUUGGGAACCCCAUCCACAUGACCAUUGUGCUCCUGGUCCUUCUGGAAGAUGAGGAGGAGGACCUAAAGAUCAUGCACCAUGCAGACAACACCCUGAAGAGCUUCUGCAAGUGGCAGAAAAGCAUCAACAUGAAGGGAGACGCCCACCCCCUGCAGCAUGACACUGCCAUCCUGCUCAUCAGGAAGGACCUGUGUGCAGCCAUGAACUGGCCCUGUGAGACCCUGGGCUUGUCCCAUGUGGUGGGCAUGUGCCAGCUGCACCGUAGCUGCAACAUCAAGGAGGACAUGGGCCUGCCGCUGACCUUCACUGUGAUGGCCCCUGCAAGCUCACUGGCCUCAAGAACAGUCUUGAGCACAGCUCCCGUACGACGCCGCUCCCCUCACCUGGUCCUGCUGCAGCUGCCAGUACAUCACCAGGUUCCUUGACCAUGGGUGGAGCCUGUGCCUGGAUGACCCGCCUGCCAAGGACAUCAUUGACUUCCCAUCAGUGCUGCCUGGGGUCCUCUAUGAUGUGAGCCACCAGUGCCACCUCCAGUAUGGGGCCUACUCUGCCUUCUGCGAGGACAUGGAUAAUGUCUGCCACACACUCUGGUGCUCUGUGGGGACCACCUGUCACUCCAAGCUGGAUGCAGCCGUGGACGGCAUCCGGUGUGGGGAGAAUAAGUGGUGUCUCAAUGGGGAGUGCAUACCUGUGGGCUUCCAGCCCGAGGCCAUGGAUGGUGGCUGGUCUGGCUGGAGCGCCUGGUCCAUCUGCUCACGGAGCUGUGGCGUGGGCAUACAGAGAGCCAAGCAGCAGUGCAUGCAGCCUAUGCCCAGAUACAAAGGCAGAUACUGUGUGGGUAAGCGGAAGCGCUUCCGCCUCUGCAACCUGCAGGCCUGCCCCGCUGGCCGCCCCUCCUUCCGCCACGUCCAGUGCAGCCACUUUGACGCUAUGCUCUACGAGGGCCAGCUGCACACAUGGGUGCCCAUGGUCAAUGACGUGAACCCCUGUGAGCUGCACUGCCGGCCCGCGAAUGAGUACUUUGCCAAGAAGCUGCGGGACGCCGUGGUUGAUGGCACCCCCUGCUACCAGGUCCGAGCCAGCCGGGACCUCUGCAUCAAUGGCAUCUGUAAGGUAACGUGGGGCUGUGACUUUGAGAUUGACUCUGGCACUAUGGAGGACCGCUGUGGCGUGUGCCACGGCAACGGCUCCACCUGCCACACCGUGAGUGGGACCUUCGAGGAGGCCGAGGGCCUGGGGUAUGUGGACGUGGGGCUGAUCCCAGCCAGCACACGUGAGGUCCGCAUCCAGGAGGUGGCUGAGGCUGCCAACUUCCUGGCACUGCAGAGCGAGGACCCGGAGAAGUACUUCCUCAAUGGUGGCUGGACCAUCCAGUAGAACGGGGACUACCAGGUGGCAGGGACCACCGUCACAUACGCACGCAGGGGCAACUGGGAGAACCUCACGUCCCCGGGUCCCACCAAGGAGCCUGUCUGGAUCCAGCUGCUGUUCCAGGAGAGCAACCCUGGGGUGCACUACGAGUACACCAUCCACAGGGAGGCAGGUGGCCAUGGCGAGGUCCCGCCGCCCGAGUUCUCCUGGCACUGUGGGCCCUGGACCAAGUGUACAGUCACCUGUGGCAGAGGUGUGCAGAGGCAGAGUGUGUACUGCUCGGAGCGGCAGGCAGGGCCCGUGGACGAGGAGCACUGUGACCCCCUGGGCCGGCCCGAUGACUGCCAGAGGAAGUGCAGCCAGCAGCCCUGCCCUGCCAGGUGGUGGGCAGGUGAGUGGCAGCUGUGCUCCAGCUCCUGCGGGCCUGGGGGCCUCUCCUGCCAGGCUGUGCUCUGCAUCCGCAGCGUGGGGCUGGAUGAGCAGAGCGCCCUGAAGCCACCCGCCUGUGAACACCUUCCCCGGCCCCCUACUGAAACCCCUUGCAACCACCAUGUGCCCUGUCCGGCCACGUAGGCUGUGGGGAACUGGUCUCAGUGCUCAGUGACAUAUGAGGAAGGGACUCAGCACCGAAAUGUCCUCUGCAUCAGUGACACCGGUGUCCCCUGUGACGAGGCCCAGCAGCCAGCCAGCGAAGUCACCUGCUCUCUGCCACCCUGUUGGUGGCCCCUGGACACACUGGGCCCUGAAGGCUCAGGCAGCGGCUCCUCCAGCCACGAGCUCUUCAACGAGGCUGACUUCAUCCCGCGCCACCUGGCCCCACGCCCUUCACCCGCCUCAUCACCCAAGCCAGGCACCAUGGGCAACGCCAUUGAGGAGGAGGCUCCAAAGCUGGACCUGCCGGGGCCCGUGUUUGUGGACGACUUCUACUACGACUACAAUUUCAUCAGCUUCCACGAGGAUCUGUCCUUACGGGCCCUCUGAGGAGCCCGAUCUAGACCUGGCGGGGACAGGGGAUCGGACGCCCCCACCACACAGCCGUCCUGCUGCGCCCUCCACGGGUAGCCCUGUGCCUGCCACAGAGCCUCCUGCAGCCAAGGAGGAAGGGGCAACGGGACCUUGGUCCCCGAGCCCUUGGCCUAGCCAGGCUGGCCGCUCCCCACCCCCACCCUCAGAGCAGACCCCUGGGAACCCUUUGAUCAAUUUCCUGCCUGAGGAAGACACCCCCAUAGGGGCCCCAGAUCUUGGGCUCCCCAGCCUGCCCUGGCCCAGGGUUUCCACUGAUGGCCUGCAGACGCCUGCCGCCCCUGAGAGCCAAAAUGAUUUCCCAGUUGGCAAGGACAGCCAGAGCCAGCUGCCCUCUCCAUGGCAGGACAGGACCAACGAGGUUUUCAAAUGAUGAGGGACCCAAGGGCUGCGGAGCACCCCACCUGCCCCCGAGACCCAGCCCCACGCUGCCCACUUUGUACCCGGUCAGCAGCACCCACUCCUCUCCUAGUCCUGACGUGGCGGAGCUGUGGACAGGAGGGACAGUAGCCUGGGAGUCAGCUCUGGAGGGUGGCCUGGGGCCUGUGGAUAGUGAACUGUGGCCCACUGUUAGGGUGGCUUCUCUCCCUCCUCCUCCCAUAGCCCCUUUGCCAGAGAUGAAGGGCAAGGACAGUCCCCUGCAGCCGGGGACUCCCACCUUCCCAACCCCAGGACCAGGCUUAUGGGACCUUCAGACUGUGGCAGUGUGGGGGACCUUCCUCCCCACAACCCUGACUGACCUCGGGCACACGCCUGAGCCUGCCCUGAACCCAGGACCCAAGGGUCAGCCUGAGUCCCUCAGCCCUGAGGUGCCCCUGAGCUCUAGGCUGCUGUCCAUGCCAGCUUGGGACAGCCCCGCCAACAGCCACAGAGCCCCUGAGACCCAGCCACUGCCUCCCAGCCUGGCUGAAGCGGGGCCCCCCACGGACCCGUUGGUUGUCAGGAACGCCGGCUGACAAGUGGGAAACUGGAGCGAGUGCUCCACCACCUGUGGCCUGGGUGCCCUCUGGAGGCCGGUGUGCUGUAGCUCCAGCCGGGAUGAGGACUGCGACCCCGCUGGCCGGCCCCAGCCUGCCCGCCGCUGCCACCUGUGGCCCUGUGCCACCUGGCACUCAGGCAACUGGAGUAAGUGCUCCCACAGCUGUGGCAGAGGUUCCUCAGUGUGGGACAUGCAGCAUGUGGACACAUGGGACCUCUGGCCACUGUGGCCCUUCCAUUGUCAGCCUGGACCUGCCAAGCUGCCUGUGCACUGGCCCUGCGGGGCCCAGCCCUGCCUCAGCUGGUACAUGUCUUCCUGGAGGGAGUGCUCCAAGGCCUGUGGCGGUGGUGAGCAGCAGCGUCUGGUGACCUGCCCAGAGCCAGACCUCUGCGAGGAGGCACUGAGACCCAACACCACCCGGCCCUGCAACACCCACCCCUGCACACAGUGGGUGGUGGGGCCCUGGGGCCAGUGCUCAGGCCCCUGUGGUGGUGGCAUCCAGUGGUCACACACUGGUCAAGUGUGUCAACACCCAGACGGGGCUACCCGAGGAAGACAGUGACCAGUGUGGCCACGAGGCCUGGCCUUGUGAGCUCCCGGCUGUGUGGCACCGAGGAUUGUGAGCCCGUCGAGCCUCCCCGCUGUGAGCGGGACCGCCUGUCCUUCGGGUUCUGUGAGACACUGCGCCUACUGGGCCGCUGCCAGCUGCCCACCGUCUGCACCCAGUGCUGCCGCUCGUGCUCUCCGCCCAGCCACGGCUCCCCCUCCCGAGGCCAUCAGCGGGUCACCCGCCACUGACGGUGCCAGGAUGCACAGACCGACCGACAGACCUCAGUGCCCACCACGGGCUGUGGCGGAGCUCCCGCCCCCUACGCCCUAAUGGUGCUAACCCCCUCUCACUACCCAGCGGCAGGCUGGGGAGCUCCUCCCCCUCGAAAAAGGUAUUUUUUUAUUCUAA